UCGAGGCAAUCGCGACGGCGCGCGCUCAGUGGUGAGGCGAUCUGAACUUACAAGCACAAGAUGUCAGCAACAGCAGCUGAAGUGGAAAAAAGUUCUACACUUCCAGACUCUCUGAGACUGAUUGUCUUAGGUGAAAUUCUCACUGCAACCCAGUGGAUGCUGAGUAUUGAGGGUCAAGUGGUUCUGAAUCAACACCCCAAUUUCAUGGCUGAAUUUGCUGCUUUGUUUGCAACUUACUACAACUUUAAUCUGGUGUACCAGC